UGCUUUAGCUCACCGAGGCUUUCUUCUUCCUCCUCGUUGAUGGGGUGAAUCUCAACGCCAGCGUCGCUAUCGCUCUCGUAAUCGACUUCUUCCUCUAUGACAUCGUGUGUUUCGUCAAAAGGUUUGAAUAUCCCUGGAGUUGGUGGAUCACUGUAACUCUUAACCCCAGAGUUUUUCGGUCUGACUCGGUUCAAUGCUUCUCUGAUCAAUUCUUCCCAUUUUGCAACCGGUCGGUUAUCUUCAGCUCCAAGUAUGUUCCCAGCAUUCAAAGGUACAACCUCUUGUAAACUUCAGACAAAACAAAAACAUGAACAUAUAAACAUAUUGAACAGAGUUAGUUUUGUCUAUGUCGUUGAGGAAAAAUAAAUAAUUUUUUUUUUUUGUUUUACCCAAGAACGUAGAUAUCGGCAGAAUGAUUAAUGUCGAUCCAGUCAUCGAUGUCAAGAUCAGAAGGUGGUGAUACUCCUCCUACGUUCCACGUACCAACACAUACUCUGCAUAACAACAAGUUCUCGUUAUUACAAUCCCGACAUGGUAGGUCUCUUUUAUAACCCAACAACUUUCGAAAGAAUUAAAAUGUAUAAAAAAUCGAAAGAAACAUCAAAUGUUUUACCUUAUUUCUUUGUUGUUAAUAUACUGUGCUCUCAAUGUUUCUGAAUUCCUUCUCCUUAACUUCAACGGAGCAUCUGAUAUCAGAAGAAAAAGUUUAAAAUAUUCAUUAUCCAAAAAAAUUGUUUCUCCAGUUUAAUUUUAUUAACUACAUAGGAAUCUUGGAUCUUAAGUCUAUAAUCUCCUAAGUAUCUGAAGCCAGUUUUUUAAUUUUAAUUUAAAGAAUAAAGUAUCAAAGAUGGUUUGAAUCGGACUACUAAAAUACCACUAGACCACCAAUAUUUUAAUAUGGUUUUUAUUUUUAAUAAAAUUUCUGAAUUCCAGCAAAGAGAAUGAACUGAAAAACUUAGAAACCACACCACAGUGAAUCUCAUAAACAACCUAUGCAAUUCGGAAUUACCAUUGCUAGUAAACUCCGCGGCUGCUUCAGCGACGGUUAUAGGAUCCUCCGAGAUCUCACUAACCCACGAUUGAGUCGAUCCUCUCCUUUGUGUGCUCGAUUCUUCAUUAUCUGUUAAACCGGUUUAAACGGCUUAGAUAAACGGAAAAGAAGAACUGAUGAAUGAUUCUGGAGAGAGAGAGAGAGUGAUAGAUAGAAGAAACAAGAACCUUCGUCGGAGCUGGAGUCUUGGUUUUCCUCUACAACGUCCUCGUUUUCGGAUUCGUCUUCAGUAUCAGCACCAUACUCAAGAUCCCUAGCACUUAUGUUCAACCACUUCCUCAUAACAACCUUCGCCCAUAAUCUCUGUGUAAACCAUCCAACACUUUUGCUUAGAACCAUUCAUUUUUAUUUAAGACAUCUGUAAGGACACACAACAAAUAUUACCUGAGAUUUCUGACGACGGAAGCUCUUCCUCAUCAUCCCGGCAGGUUCAGCAACUGAAGACAUCAAAAUUGAAUUUUCACAAAAGUGAUACUCUUUAAUAAAUAAAGGAAAGUGCUGAAACUUUUGUAAAUCUUUAUUUUCAGACCAUAAAAUCCAUUAGAGAGUUCGAGACGCGUGUGUCCGUCCUCGUUUUUUAUAUCAUUUUAUGCAAUUUUCUUCUACAUUUAUGUAAGGUUAAUAAAAUUGAUAAUGACAUAAUUAUAAUUUUUUCCCUAAGUAAUAGGUAAUUUAUUACUAAAAUCACUAUUAGUGUCACGGGUCACUUAUAGAAAAAAGGCCCACACUAUAUAUAAGAUUAAAAUUACGAUAUAGUAGUAACUUUUUUUUUUUUUUUUUUUUUACGAUAUAGUAGUAACUUGAAUAAUUGUCUCUAGCUAAACUUAUAAGGUGAACUUUUCAAAAAUUGGCCCAGAGUAAAUUAGAUUGUUACUUUAUUUAUGGCUAUUCAUAGACUUUGUAUGAAUGUAUUUUUCAUCAACCAAUUAAAAGUAAGUUUACAAAUAUAAAUUGAAUUAGUACUGUAUAAAUAUGCACACGCGGUACAUAUUGGUAGGGACUUGGUCUUACAGCUCCCAUUGGAUUUUUUAACCUGAGUGGUCCCAGUUGGACUUUAACUUUUGGACCGUAACUCAACUGUUUCUAUAGCUAAUAAUAUACCGCUUUUUUUUUUCAUCUGAAGUUUAUUAAUAGGAUUAAAUCCAAAAUGGGCAAAGCCCAAGCCUUACAAGAAUCCGAAGCCCAAAAACAGAGGCAUACAACCAAGUAAAACAAACUGGGCCCGAGGCCCACACAACCAACCGAAACCCUAGUAGGCUAGACGUCGCUCUUCACGCGAAGCCGCACGCCUCUUUUCUUCCUCCGGUACCAUCGACCGCGUCACGACUACUCAACGGCCACCGUCGACAGCAAAGUCGAAACCGGAACUCAACCAUUCAACCAGACCUUCGAGAUACUCGAAUCCAACAAACACAUAAACUUCAAACCAAACAGACGGAUCUACGAAUUACCAACAGAUAUUAAAGCCUACAAUCGAUUCAUCAUCUCCGACAUAUAAGCGGCAACAGAUUGAGAUCGAGAAGCGAAAACCAAAUAAGCUCAAACUCGUAGAUCUAAAUGAGGAGAAAUAAAAACCCUAAAACGAACGCCGGCGCCAGCGAUGCUACGGAAGCCACCGCCUCCCGGUACCCAAAGCCGGCGAAGAAGGUGCUGAAAAAGCCACCCCUUCCCAUAAACAAGUCGGACGACCACCAUAGAGAGGUGCGACGCCGAAACCUAGGUAAAUCAAGAGACCCCGAACAAAAACCAGAUGCUAAAAACGAAAAAAAUAGCUCCACAACCGGAAGAGAGCCUCGCCGUCGGCCGGAAAUCUCUCUCUCUUUUCUCUCUCUCCAGUAAGCGAAAAUCACCGAGCUAAUAAUAUACCGCUUAUCCUCACAAAUCAGAAUACUGACGUGGUAAGUCACGAAAAGCAAAGAUUAAUUCUGGAAUACCAGAAAAAUGAAAAAUGAAACGCAAAGAACAUGGCGCCGCCAAAGUAGUCGAUGGGGUGAACAAAAAAAAAAGCAAUCUAUAGGAGAUCGGGUCUCGAUUUCCGGUUAGAGCCCGGUUGUGGAUAAGGUGUUCGGGUCGUGAGGUGCGGUAUGGGACUGCAGCAUACACAGAGUUCUAGUCCUUUGGGUCCACCUACCUUUAACUAGAGUUAGUCUACGAUUCAACCAGUGUAUUGUACACUUGUACUGUUGCAUCAACUUUUGUGGCAAAUAAAUAGGCCAUAUGAACGGUUAUAAAUUUAUAUUACUUGAUAUAGUUCUGUAUAAUUUUAAUUUGAGGCCAUAAGUUUGUUUUUCAAUUAAUUUUGUAAAGAUAUUAGGUCGAUCCAUCCAAAUUUCGAUACAUCAACAUCAUUUUUCUUUUUGCUUUUACAUAUUUUUUCAAACUUAAUAUAUUAAAUUUUAAAAAUUGUUAUUCACUCAUAACUUUAGUGAUAUUUAAAUCCAGAAAUAUUUCAUUAUUUUGUUUUUGACGUGUAUAAAUUUGUUAUUCUAGUCAUGUUUUACUGUAUUUGGAGGUCGUAAUGUUUCUAAAGAUGUACAGUUUGGUAAUGUUUGACCAAUAUAUAUUAUAUAAAAAUUAGGUUCAGUCGAAUAUUGAAGUAUUUGUAAAAUUAUUUGUGUCAUGAAAUGAAUUACAGUGUACUUUUAAAAAUUAUAUAAGACAUAUCUAAUUUGCAUCCCACCAAAAUAAAUUGCAGACACAAAAAUUAAUAUAUAUUCAAUACUUAAAUUAGUUCAUAAGUGAUUGAUAUUUUUUGCCAUAAAUUCUAAAAAUCGUUAACUCAAUGUUAAAAAAUUAUAUUGUUAAGCCUUUUCUCAAAAAGAAAAUAUAUUAUACUGCUAUAGAAUAAUGACUUUAAUUUAUGUGGAAAUAGAUCAAUGUCUUCAAUGAGUAAAAAACAAACUAAGGAGGGGAAGUCACCUUUUAGCAUCUAGUAAUAUCCUGAUUGUAUCACCGUCAGCUGAGAUAAAAAGAAGUUAAAAGAGAAAAAUCAGUAAUACAUUUUUAUCACUGGGUGCACAAAAUUGCCUGAAUGUCUUCUGUACCACCAUAAAAGUGGUUCGAAUGAUGAUAUGAUUUGUUGAAACCAGAUUACAGACGUCCAAAAAUAUCACAUGCCUAAUUGUUGGAGUCUUGGAGAUAUAAGGGUGCAAAACCACAUGAAAUUUCAUUUUGUUUUAGAAAACAUCACCGAUGAUGAACUGAAUGAAGUAUGGAGCUUCAUGUGAUUUGCCUUUGAUUCAAAGACAAGUCACAUGAAGCUCCAUGCUUGAUUCACUUCAUAAUCGGUGAUUUUUUUCUAAAACAAAAUGAAUUUGUUAUUGGUAUAUAAUUGUCUUUCUUUCUUGUUUUUUUAUGGCCGGUGACAUUCGAAACUGUGUUAUAGUGAUUUACUUAUAAUCCAAGUUUAUAUUAAUUUAAAAACCAGAAAAAUUGCCACCGAAACUGAAUUUUUUGUUUGUUUUUUUGUGAGAAAAUUUUUUUUUGGUUGUUGAAACCCAGAAUAAAGCCAGAAAUAAAUAAUAUAUAUAUAUGUAUAUAUUCUAAACUAUGUGCAUUCAAAAUCCUAUCGACGAGGAUGACCAGUAACAAAAUAAACAACGAAGAAAUUAAAAGAGUCUAAAAUAAGAAAAUAAGGAAAAACAGAUGAGAAAAUGGAGAUAAACAAAACAGAUAACGAGAAAAAGAAAGCAUGUUUGGUCCCUUUGGGAUCACAUCAGUCCUCCUGACCACAAAUCCACAAUAUAGACAAUGGUCGACACCCAACUCCAACUUUUAGAGCAGACAUUUGGCUAUUUCUGUCCAUAUUAAUUUUUAAUUGUAUAUCCGAUAGGUAUUUGUGGUCAGAUAUAAAACUUUAUUUAUAUAUCUGAUAGGUAUUUGUGGUCAAAUACUCUAUCCGUUAUAUUAAGAUAAUUUUUUUUAAAAAAAUAGAUUUUUAUGUUUUUUAUACAAAAGUUGCAAAUUUCAAAAAUAUUAAUUGAAUUUAUUGAAAGAUUAUUGUUUAAAAAGCAUUGGAAUUUGAUAAUUUCAAAAAACGAUACAUAACUAAUGUGUUUUUUUAAUAUGUGUAAAAAUAUUAAAAUAACUAUUUUUAAGGAGCGGAAGUAGUAUAAAACAGAAUAAAAAAAGAAAAAAAAAAUGAAAGAGCAUAAUUAAAUUCAGAAAAGAGAGGAAAAUAAAGGAAUAGAAAAGAGGAAAGAAAAAUAAUCUACAUUAUAAUAUGUCAGUUGCAUUGCAUCACUCCUGAUGCGACACGUCAGCGAUUUGUGGGUUCCACUUUUAAAAAGUGUGAAAAAGUGUCAAGUCUGUGACUCAAACCCAGGUUUAUUGAGAUCUAAACAACAACAUUUAUACCACUGAGCUAAAUGAUUCUUUGUACAUUGAUGACUGAAACAAAUAUAUAUUUAUGAAUGCAACCCCGUUGUUGCUUCCGGCUACAUACUUAAACGAAUUGUAAGCCUUGAAAGACUUUGUUGUUUGUAAGGACGCUGUUGACUUCAUGGAAGGCUGUCUAUCUAGAACGCAAGAAGGUCCUAACAUGCUCAAAGGAGGCUCAGGCCAGCUUAAACCGAUCCUUUCUUUCCCACUUAACAUCCGGUUUAGCGUUUUCAUACCGGUUCCAGGGGAAUCCUCAUCCUUCUUCCUCUUGUCAAAGCUAUCAACACGUAAACAGAUUUGUCUGUCUAGCUUCUUAGGAGAAGAGAACUGUCUUUUAAUCUCAACAACCGGCACGCCGGAGUUAGGAUCAACGAGAGUGUUGACUUCGCCUACAACUCCACCGUCAUGCUUUAGCUCACCGAGGCUUUCUUCUUCCUCCUCGUUGAUGGGGUGAAUCUCAACGCCAGCGUCGCUAUCGCUCUCGUAAUCGACUUCUUCCUCUAUGACAUCGUGUGUUUCGUCAAAAGGUUUGAAUAUCCCUGGAGUUGGUGGAUCACUGUAACUCUUAACCCCAGAGUUUUUCGGUCUGACUCGGUUCAAUGCUUCUCUGAUCAAUUCUUCCCAUUUUGCAACCGGUCGGUUAUCUUCAGC
rnacentral:lncRNA from 1 species